GACGUAGGGCGCAAGCGUUGUCCGGAUUUAUUGGGCGUAAAGAGCUCGUAGGCGGCUCGUUGCGUCGGCUGUGAAAACCCGCAGCUCAACUGUGGGCUUGCAGCCGAUACGGGCGGGCUGGAGUUCGGUAGGGGAGACUGAAUUCCUGGUGUAGCGGUGAAAUGCGCAGAUAUCAGGAGGAACACCGGUGGCGAAGGCGGGUCUCUGGGCCGAUACUGACGCUGAGGAGCGAAAGCGUGGGGAGCGAACAGG
rnacentral:rRNA from 1 species